AGAUUGAACGCUGGCGGCAUGCCUUACACAUGCAAGUCGAACGGCAGCACGGGAGCAAUCCUGGUGGCGAGUGGCGAACGGGUGAGUAAUACAUCGGAACGUGCCCAAUCGUGGGGGAUAACGCAGCGAAAGCUGUGCUAAUACCGCAUAAGAUCUACGGAUGAAAGCAGGGGAUCGCAAGACCUUGCGCGAAUGGAGCGGCCGAUGGCAGAUUAGGUAGUUGGUGAGGUAAAGGCUCACCAAGCCUUCGAUCUGUAGCUGGUCUGAGAGGACGACCAGCCACACUGGGACUGAGACACGGCCCAGACUCCUACGGAGGCAGCAGUGGGGAAUUUGGACAAUGGGCGAAAGCCUGAUCCAGCAAUGCCGCGUGAGUGAUGAGG
rnacentral:rRNA from 1 species